rnacentral:rRNA from 1 species
GACGAACGCUGGCGGCGUGCCUAACACAUGCAAGUCGAGCGAGGAGGAGGAAGCUUGCUUCCGAAUCCUAGCGGCGGACGGGUGAGUAACGCGUGAGCAACCUGCCUUUUACUGGGGGAUAACGCAUCGAAAGAUGUGCUAAUACCGCGUAAGACCACGGUACCGCAUGGUACAGGGGUCAAAGGAGCAAUCCGGUAAAAGAUGGGCUCGCGUCCGAUUAGCUAGUUGGUGAGAUAACAGCCCACCAAGGCAAUGAUGGGUAGCCGGCCUGAGAGGGUGAACGGCCACAAGGGGACUGAGACACGGCCCUU